rnacentral:lncRNA from 1 species
GGGAGACCCUGAGAAGGUGGAAGGGGAUGCCGGGGUGCAGACCGAGAGAAAGGAAGGGAGAGCACCCCUCCCCUUGAUGGAAAACGGAAGCAGUAAGUGAAGAUGGCAACACUGCCCACGACCACAGCCGCACGGUGAGACCCCAGUUGUUAAGGGACCGGAGUCACUUAUUGCAUUCAACAGGGGAAAGGUUGCUUGAGGGAUGGGAGACUCAGCAGGUCCCACCCACCCCAACCGGGCACCCAUCUUGCUGCUUCCUUUGGUGAGGGAGGUGGGCUUCUCCCUGAGGACCUCAUGGACACACAGCAAAGCAGCUCCUUGCCUUCAAUGCCCACCCCACCUCCAGAGCGCCAAACAGCGAAGAUGAGUGGCUUGCUUCCAAAGGCUUUAGGCAGAGACAAAGACAAUCUAUCUCUCCUUAGAAUCAUUUUCCCCAAGAUGGUCUCCUGUUUCCUUGGCUGGCCUCAACCUCGUCAAGUAACUAACUGGCGAUGACCUUGAAUGCCCCAUCCUGCUUACCACUACUUCCCAGGGCCAGGAGUGCAGGCGUGCACCGCCACGCCUGGCUUAAGUGGUGCUGGGGGUGGAUCCCAGAGCUUUGUACAUGCUAGGCAAGCACACUACCAACUCAGCUAUGAUCUCCAGCGCUCAAACCCAAACCUAUUUGGAGUGUUCCUGAGACCAGGUCUCACUCAGUAGCCCAGGCUGGACUUGAACUCUCAGAGCCUCCUGAGUGCUGGCUUUACAGGCACGAGCUGGGAGAGCUAAGAUGCCUAGCAGGUCCUCUCCAUUCUGAGGAUGGCGUGCAUUAAUAUUCAGCUGUCUUUGGAGAGGACUGGGUGGAUUGAGUUAUGGCUCUGACUCCUCUCUGGGGGCGGAGAGGGGAGAUGACAAAGAAGGCCAUCUGUCCCCUGGGAGACACAUUAGCAGUGGAAGAUGGGACAGAAUAACAACUCCAACCAGAAAGGGUUUUGAGAAGGAGGGGGAGUUCUAGGUACACAUGCCCCAGGGAUGCGGAGGCUCCUUCACUCGAGAGCUCUAUCCUCCCCAAAUUAUGGAGAUGGUACUGUUCCCCUCUGCUAGAAAGAAGCCCAGGAGUAGUGAGACAGGAAGAAAGGGUGUCACCCAGGCAAUGAACCCUGCACUCCGACCUGUCCCGGCCUCUACUGCUCUCCCUGCUCACCAGCAAGGCACAGGGUUGUGGGAAGAGCAGCCCGAGUCUCACACCUGCACCUAAGCUCGGGCACCGCUAGCCUCUGGGCUCCUGCACCCAAAGUGCUCACAGAAAGAGGUGGACGUGGGGUGGGGUGGGGUGGGAGAACGGGAACAGUCGGGAACAGUCGUUGCUCCACAGGGACCUUCUCCAUCAUCUGCAUAGUCACAAAAGUCCGCUUAGGCUUAGGUCCUGCCUUGUGAGGUGCCAGCCUGCUGACCACUCCCCACCUGACCUCCAGGCCAGACUGUCCAUGUGUGAAUGCCUGCACCCACAUCUGGAGCAUCCUGAAAGCCCUCCAUUCCAGGGCUUACCAGGGAGGAAGCAUGCCACAAAGUGCCCCAUAAAAGUAUCAGCAAAAUCCAGACAUUCAGUUUCUUCCACUCAGCAAAAGUGCAUCCAGGCAGUUGCUUGAGCCAAGUCCACUGUUCAGUCAGGUCCCGAAGAUGGCAAACAACCCCUCCCCCAGCUCCUCCUAUUUCAUAGAAACAAGAUAUUUUUCAAAGAUCAAGGCACUUAGAAGAGUCGACAAUAACACUCUAAAGAAGCAGGAGGGCUUACUGGGAGCAAGGAGGGAGGGCAGAGAAAUGGACAAGGGGAGAAAGGACAGUGUAUGUCUGGGGUGGGCGAGAAAACCCUAUCCACCAGAAGGAAGUUAUUUGGAUGGAAGGAGCCUGCAGCCUGAAUUUAGCAAAGAAGAGAAGUAACGGCCAAGUCCAGCUCCCCUAAGCCUCUCAGAACCCGCCACCUCCAACAUAAAGCCGCAAUCACCCUGGAGUCAGGCAGCCUCUUAGGCAAAGAUGUUGGCAAUAAAGUCCAGGAAUCGCUUAGCAUACUGCUCAGGAUGGACAGUGGAGAUCUCUGCCCCCGCCUGUGAGAAGAAAAAACAGGGAACAGUGUCACUCACAGGAGCUCUCCGCCUCCCCCUCAGUUCACCCUCCUACUGCCUUCCCUCA